CCUGUCCCUAGAGUUGUUACAGCUGUGACUGCUGUGUCACAAGUGUCAGCAAGGUGUCAGAGAGGAGAGAGGCUAUGCCUGUCCUCAGUGUACUGACCUGUGACCAUCUGAAUGAUAGAGAGCCUAACACU